rnacentral:rRNA from 1 species
UGCGUAGGCGGUCUAUCAAGUCAGAUGUGAAAUCCCCGGGCUUAACCCGGGACGGGCAUUUGAAACUGGUAGACUUGAGUAAAGAAGAGGUAAGUGGAAUUCCUAGUGUAGCGGUGGAAUGCGUAGAUAUUAGGAGGAACACCAGUGGCGAAGGCGACUUACUGGUCUUUUACUGACGCUGAGGCACGAAAGCGUGGGGAGCAAACAGGAUUAGAUACCCUGGUAGUCC